rnacentral:lncRNA from 1 species
CUCCUUGGUCCUGAGUGUCAGCAGCCGAAGCUUCUUUUCGUUCCUUGGCGAGGCUUUUGAUGGGGCUCGGGACAUGUGGAGAGCCUACUCUGACAUGAGAGAAGCCAAUUACAUCGGCUCAGACAAAUACUUCCAUGCUCGGGGGAACUAUGAUGCUGCCAAAAGGGGACCUGGGGGUGCCUGGGCUGCAGAAGUGAUCAGUGCCAUGGCAUGAUCAUGGCUCACUGCAACCUCGACCUCCCGGGGCUCAAGAGAUCCUCCCACUUCAGCCUCUUGAAUAACUGGGACUGCAGAUGUGCGCCAUGACACUUGCCUAAUUUUUAUAUUUUUUGUAGAGAUGGGGUUUCGCCGUGUCACCCAGGCUGGUCUUGAACUCCUGGGCUCAAGUGAUCUGCCUGCCUCAGCCUCCCAAAGUGCUGGGAUUACAGGCAUGAGUCACUGAGCCCAGCCUACUGUUAUAUUUAUUUUUGUGUCGGUUUGAGGCUGCCCAGAUUCACAUUGUUUCUGGGGUCGUCUGUGAGGGUGUUUCCAGAGGAGAUUAACAUUUGAAUUGGACUUAAUAAAGUAGAUUGC